GGCGUCUGUAGCUCAUGGAGAGCGUCGGGGAUGAUACUCCGAAGGCAUCGGUUCGAUUCCGAUCGACACCACCA
rnacentral:tRNA from 1 species